UCCUUAUCGAGAGCGGCGGAGGGACUGGCCCGAUGAAGCCCGGCAACCACUGGACAUGCGUGACAUGGACAGAAAGGUGCCAAUUCCUGCAAAACCUGUACCGGGGUUUUGACAGAUGAGGA
rfam:Brevibacillus sp. CF112 PMI08_contig_22.22, whole genome shotgun sequence.